rnacentral:rRNA from 1 species
AUUUGAAUGUUAACAUUUUGUUGCCUUGGGCGGGAUUCUUUGCCCCCGGGCGCGUAGCAGCCCCGGAUCCCAUGGCGCCCGCCGGAGGACCUAACUCCAAACUCUUUUUUUCUCUCCGUCGCGGCUCCCGUCGCGGCUCUGUUUUAUUUUUGCUCUGAGCCUUUCUCGGCGACCCUAGCGGGCGUCUCGAAAAUGAAUCAAAACUUUCAACAACGGAUCUCUUGGUUCUGGCAUCGAUGAAGAACGCAGCGAAAUGCGAUAAGUAAUGUGAAUUGCAGAAUUCAGUGAAUCAUCGAAUCUUUGAACGCACAUUGCGCCCGCCAGUAUUCUGGCGGGCAUGCCUGUCCGAGCGUCAUUUCAACCCUCGAACCCCUCCGGGGGGUCGGCGUUGGGGAUCGGCCCCUCACCGGGCCGCCCCCGAAAUACAGUGGCGGUCUCGCCGCAGCCUCUCCUGCGCAGUAGUUUGCACACUCGCACCGGGAGCGCGGCGCGGCCACAGCCGUAAAACACCCCAAACUUCUGAAAUGUGACCUCGGAUCAGGUAGAAACCCGAUC